rnacentral:snRNA from 1 species
AUACUUACCUGGCAGGGGAGAUACAAUCACAAAAGUGGGUUUCAGGGGUGAGGCUCAUCUACUGCACUCUGAGGAUGCUGACCCCUUCAUUUUCACCAAAUGGAAGUGGGCAUCUGUUUGCUGC